rnacentral:rRNA from 1 species
GACGAACGCUGGCGGCGUGCUUAACACAUGCAAGUCGAGCGGUAAGGCCCUUUCGGGGGUACACGAGCGGCGAACGGGUGAGUAACACGUGGGUGACCUGCCUUUAGCUCUGGGAUAAGCCUGGGAAACUGGGUCUAAUACCGGAUACGACUCCGCGGUGCAUGCUGUGGGGUGGAAAGCCUUGUGCGGCUGGAGAUGGGCCCGCGGCCUAUCAGCUUGUUGGUGGGGUGAUGGCCACCAAGGCGACGACGGUAGCCGGCCUGAGAGGCGACCGGCCACACUGGGACUGAGACACGGCCCAGACUCCUACGGGAGGCAGCAGUGGGGAAUCUUGCGCAAUGGGCGAAAGCCUGACGCAGCGACGCCGCGUGAGGGAUGACGGCCU